UUUCCGUAGGUGAACCUGCGGAAGGAUCAUUAACAAAUUCCAAAACACGCGUGUUUGAUCUAACGUGUGUUGUGACAGUGGUAGUUGGAUGCGAGGAGGUCGAAUUCAAACAGGGUGUCUCCAUGUUGGGCCAUUCUGUCGAUCUUGUCGAUCUUGUCUAUCUGCCUAUGCUGUCAUGAUGCCUAGAUCAUAUCAUACACACAACACUCACAUUCAAUACAUUGACAACCAAGAGUAACCUAAAACGUUAAAUCGAAACAACUUUUAACAAUGGAUCUCUCGGCUCUU
rnacentral:misc_RNA from 1 species